GGCCUGUUAGCUCAGUCGGUUAGAGUGUGGUGCUGAUAACACCAAGGUCACAGGUUUGAUCCCCAUUUGGUCCC
rfam:Apaloderma vittatum contig75013, whole genome shotgun sequence.